GCCUGCAUGAAGCUGGAAUUGCUAGUAAUCGCGGAUCAGCAAGCCGCGGUGAAUACGUUCCCGGGCCUUGUACACACCGCCCGUCACACCAUGAGAGUCGGGAACACCCGAAGUCCGUAGUCUAACCGCAAGGGGGCGCGGCCGAAGGUGGGUCCGGUAAUUGGGGUGAAGUCGUAACAAGGUACC
rnacentral:rRNA from 1 species